rnacentral:rRNA from 1 species
AUUGAACGCUGGCGGCAUGCUUUACACAUGCAAGUCGAACGAGGGGCGAACGGGUGAGUAAUAUAUCGGAACGUACCGAGUAAUGGGGGAUAACCAAUCGAAAGAUUGGCUAAUACCGCAUAUUAUUCGAGCGGCCGAUAACUGAUUAGCAAGUUGGUUGGGUAAAGGCCUACCAAGGCGACUAUCAGUAGCGGGUCUGCGAGGACGACCCGCCCCACUGGGACUGAGACACGGCCCAGACUCCUACGUGAGGCAGUAUUUGGGAAUUUUGGACAAUGGGGGCAACCCUGCUCCAGCCAUGCCGCGUGUAUGAAGAAGGCCUUCGGGUUGUAAAGUACUUUUGUUAGGUAAGCGGUACCUAAAGAAUAAGCACCGGCUACCUCCGUGCCAGCAGCCGCGGUAAUUC